rnacentral:lncRNA from 1 species
CUGGUGGUCCGACCUUGGUCUACUCUCCUAGGCCUGGGAGAUCUCAAUGAGAAGAGGAUUUCAAGAAGAUAGUCCAAGAUAUCAAGCCCCACUUUGGUGAAGUCCAGAGUGGGCCUCAUUGGAGCAACGAUGGUCUCAGUUUCAAUUCUCAACCACCAUUCUCCAAACUAUUUUGGAUGAAUUGAUCCUAAGCUAGUUCAAAGAACCUCAACUGGAGCCAUAUGAUGGCUCCAUAAAUCCCCUUGAUUUUUUAUGGGAUUACAAAAUCCUCAUGAUACUGUGGAGCACCUCAGAUGUCCUCCUCUACCUCACCUUUUUGGCCACUCUCAAA